GAUCAUGGCUCAGGACGAACGCUGGCGGCGUGCUUAACACAUGCAAGUCGAGCGGUAAGGCCCUUUCGGGGGUACACGAGCGGCGAACGGGUGAGUAACACGUGGGUAACCUGCCCUCCACUCUGGGAUAAGCCCGGGAAACUGGGUCUAAUACCGGAUAGGACCACUGAUCGCAUGGUUGGUGGUGGAAAGUUUUUUCGGUGGGGGAUGGGCCCGCGGCCUAUCAGCUUGUUGGUGGGGUGAUGGCCUACCAAGGCGGUGACGGGUAGCCGG
rnacentral:rRNA from 1 species